rnacentral:rRNA from 1 species
AUUGAACGCUGGCGGCAUGCUUUACACAUGCAAGUCGAACGGUAACAGGGUGCUUGCACCGCUGACGAGUGGCGAACGGGUGAGUAAUGCGUCGGAACGUGCCGAGUAGUGGGGGAUAACGCAGCGAAAGUUGUGCUAAUACCGCAUACGUACUGAGGUAGAAAGUGGGGGACCUUCGGGCCUCACGCUAUUCGAGCGGCCGACGUCUGAUUAGCUAGUAGGUGAGGUAAAGGCUCACCUAGGCGACGAUCAGUAGCGGGGCUGAGAGGAUGAUCGGCCACACUGGGACUGAGACACGGCCCAGACUCCUACGGGAGGCAGCAGUGGGGAAUAUUGCACAAUGGGCGCAAGCCUGAUGCAGCCAUGCCGCGUGUAUGAAGAAGGCCUUCGGGUUGUAAAGUACUUUCAGCGGGGAGGAAGGCGGUGAAGUUAAUAACUUCACCGAUUGACGUUACCCGCAGAAGAAGCACCGGCUAACUCCGUGCCAGCCGCCGCCGUAA